rnacentral:lncRNA from 1 species
AAAAAUGUUUUUACUAUAUCGUCAUUCAGUAAACAAGCAGUUCAACAAGUGCCUCUGCAGCUCUUGCAUUUUCUCAAACUGUGGGACAAAUUCAACACAACAGCAGGAAGGCUUCGACAUGUUGGCUCUGUCAGAGACGCCCGUCAGCUGAGCCUCCUCAAGCUCCCUCCGUCUUUUUUUAUCCUUUUCUCCAUCCUGCUCAGCGUGGGGUCUGUGCAUCCGUCAGGCGCUGUGCGGGAAACAGUGGGACUGGAGCUUUGUGAUUGUUGUAAUUUUCAUCUCACCCUCUCUCCCUCCCGCCCUCCCCUUCCCUCUUGUCCGCAGCCACCUGCCUUUUUUCCUCCAGCUGCUGAUGCUGCUCGCCUCUCAGGGGGGUCAGCGGGUUUCAUCGGCUCUUGCUGGAUCGCCAUGGCAACCGCAUACUUGGAGCAGUGUGCAGCCACUGUAGAGCGCUCGGGGACCAGCUCCAGAUCUCAGCUCCAGAUCUCAGCUCCAGAUCUCAGCCAAUGCCUCGAUCAAGAGCACCAACUGGAGAGAUGAACCUGAUACACAUAUUCUGAUGUGGGAAAGCCAAACUGAAUACUGUUCACCUCCCAACCGCGUAGGAGAAACUGCUGUUCCUCUGCUCAUCAGAGUUUGUUACUUCCAAUUCAAAAUGGCCGACUUCCUGUUGGGUUUGGGUCCAAGAGGCUUUUUUGUACGUGUGGAGAUGAUCUAUGUGUGUACAUGUAUCUGUGAAACAUGCCUAUAGUGCUGGUCGAGCCAUUUUGCCACGCCCAUGUGCGAGACCCAUAUCAUGCGUUCAUUUUCACCACCGCUGAUGUGUGUGCUGUGUUUCUUGGGUUUUGCAGGAUGUAGUUUUCCUGCUGUUACAGCCUCACACUGUUGCUGCAGACUCUUCUCUUUUUAUUGGAUUCUUAUUUAUAUCCUUCGCUUCACGUCUGACCCACUUUCUCCUCAGAGGUGGGAUCAAUAAGGUUCAUUUUAUUGUAUCUUAUCUGAGAUCUGAGCGAGUAUCAGCCGUACUGUGAGUGCUGUGUAUUUAAUUGGAGUGGAUCGAUGUCGGGCUAAGUGGCGUCUGAUUUGUAUUGUACAGACAUGUUGGACAGAUCAGACAAGCAGAACCUGUUUCCUCAAAUAAACUGUUAACAGCAGGUUUUAGAGAAUCUGUCCAAAAGUACUUUUCUGAAUCUCUGUUCAACUGAGUGAACUUUUAAUUGUCACAGCUGCAGAAGCAUUGGCUAAAUGCUAAAAUGAACGUGUGUCUAUUAAACGUAAUUCAACCACUGAAGCCAGUUAGCUGAUGUUCUUGAUAGUUAUACAUUUCUGAAUGGACAAACCCAAAUGUAACAAAGGUUUUGAUAUCAUUUCCUGUGAAUACUUCCUCAGAGAUGAGUUUUUCUGAUCCUGGAUCCUACACUGGUCCUUUUUAAAAGAAACUAACCUUGGUAGAAGUCAGGAUGUGAACUGUGGUUGCUGGGGUCAAAGUCGGAGAGGUCAGGUCGAUCUUGGUUAUUAAUAAAAAUGUCAAAAAAAAUGUAUAAAAUGUCAGGAAAUAAAAUGACAAGACGCCAUUGAACAGUCCAAAACCAGAAAAUACUCACUUUCACAUCGGAUAAAGUAGAGCCAGAUAUGUUUUGACAUGUUUCUCUUUAUAAAUAACUUUAGAAAUGAUAAGAUUAUCCAGAUAUGUGUUGAUAAAAUUCUCUGCCUUUUAACCAAUUCAUUGACGUGAUGUCCACCGUGAUCCAUCAAUACCUUCAAAUCUAACUGAAUGUACCUCUUCUGUUGCCGUACACCGUUUACAGCUCGAGCAGGGCCGAAGCGUCUGACAAAUGAUUUCCUGCUUUACAGAAAGUCUGUCCUUUGAAUCAUCGGCCCUCACUCUUCCUGAAUUAUACAUAGUUAAGCUCAGUGAUUACAGCAGAUUGCCUUACAAUUGCCUGUCAAGCGGAGCGCCAUCGACUGUCCUAGAUUCACAAAUUCUCCCUCGAGUGUCUCUCCUGGGACGGAGGGCGCUUACUCGUCGCCAACUUGCUUCUGUUUAAGAGGUUUAUAGGCUGAGAAGUGACAGAAAUUCAUCGAGAGUGAAACUAUUUUCAGCGCUUUUCAAGUCGGGGCGGCGCAAUCAUAGGCUGCGCUGGGGACUGUUGUCACGAAAUCUUAAGUGGAGGUUAUUUUUGGUGUGAAAUUAACAAGGUUUGUUGUUUUUGUCAGUCUGAGGGAGAGAGGAGGUAGGAACAGAGACAAAGUCGUCUCAGGUAAACCUCUUAUGGUAAAAGUUUCUAAUCUCGCCACGCAGGACGACAUCUAAAACCUGCAGAAUUUAUGUCGGCUGUGUGCACGACGCAGCUCUUUCUGCUGGAUGUUUCUAAU